AGUACGCCCGCGUUAGGGAUUGAAGUGGCAUCCUUUUUAGUUGUCAGUUCGAGUGAUCACGCUUUUGGGCGUGAUUGUAUCGAGAACAAAACUAAAAAGAUAUAACGGAAAGCCCGACCACAC
rnacentral:sRNA from 1 species